GUUAACAAGUGAAAGGACAAGAGGAAAUAGCCUUAAGUUGCACCAGGAAAUGGUUUAGAUUGGAUGUUAGGAAACAUUUCUCACUGAAAGGGUGGUCAAGCAUUGGAAUGGGCUGCCCAGAAAAGUGGUGGAGUCAAUAUCCCUGGAAGUGUUCAAAAAACAUGGGACGUGGUACUUGGAGACAUGGCUUAGUGGUGAACACAGCAGUGAUGGGUUAAUGGUAGGACCUGAUGAUCUUACAGGUCUUUUCCAACCUUAACGAUUUGGGGAUUCUAUGUACAGGAGGAAAGAGGGUUGAAUGUGAAGCAAAUGAGGAGUCAAUACCUGGAGAACAGAGGUUUUAUAUAUUAUCCUAGUAUUUGAAUACAUAUUGUGUAGUUCACAUGUAUUUAUACUUAGCUGCUACUGGAGGCUAGUCUCUGUACCAUGUUUGAUGAAGCUCUUCUCAAGGCAUUUGAGUGCAUUGCUCAAAUCUGGCCUAGACAGCCAACAAAUUUGGUAUGGACGUGAGCAAUAUGAGAAUAUCAGGCUCAUAAGGGUGCUCAGGAUGAAGUAUGCUACAUUAGAGGUUCUUCAAAUUGCCAAGAUGACCAAAAUCCUGAAAGCUGCACAGCCCUUCUGUACAUAUUGAUGGUCAUUUCAGUGGUGGUGUUAUAGACAGUCCAUAAUUUGCCUACUUCCUCCCUGUGGGACAUUUACUACAUGGCUUUAUCCCCUAGAUGUUCAGUGUACAGGACUGGGGAGUGGGUAUGAUCCAAGGCUGGAGGAUAUUAACAAACAUUAGUUUGGAUAUUCACUCCUCUAGUUUACAAGUAGUUCUUUGGAAACGAGCCUGACCUCCUUAGGUUUAUUGAAGGAAAGGUAUUAGAAGAAGGAUUUCCAAAGAAGGGCUAAAGAAGGGGUUGGUUACACAACUAAUUCCACAUCAUAGCCAUGAGCAUCUAAUCUAUCUCCCAGCCAUUCCUAUUACAUCUAAAUAGACCUGUUGUAAUGAAGCAUUGAGAGGUGAAAGAGGGGGUUAAUGUACUACUCUGUCAUUGCUGAAUGUAUCAUUUACAACUUGAUGGAGGUCACACAGGAAAAUAAGCAUGGUUGUCUCAGUUGAUUCUUCAGGGCAUGUCCAAUGCUGAAUUUUCCUGAAAUCUGCAGAUUUUGCAUUUGUUAAAAAUCUGCAUAAAUAAUGGUGAGAGAGGAGACUGUAAUGAACCUGUUAUGUAGGCAAAACAACACAUCUUGCUUUUAUUUAACACUAUACCCUUUUUACCUGGGGUUUACCUUUCUGGUGUGAUCUGUUUUCAUCCUCUCAGCUAAAGCAAAGUAAUAGCUACCCAGGGGCCAGUGAAAUAUAUGAAUGGGGCUGAGUUGGAAAGGGCAGCUCUACAGAUAUGCUGGACUGGGCCAAAGAACAAGGUGAGCAGAUUAGGCUAUAUAAAUAC
rnacentral:lncRNA from 1 species